AAUGUUUUUAUGGAUUGGGAGUAAGACUUGGUGGUAUAAUAUUUCUAAUAUACAAGUUAGCAUUACAGCUUGUCCUUACAGAUUGAUGUUGGAAAUGGCUAUUGGAGUUGACUUUUAAAGAUAACAAAUACUGUGGCUGCAGGAAAUAAUUGUGUGAUAAAUUCUCGUACCAAGUUUUUGCAAGGAUUCUAAAUGUGUAGACAGCAUGUCACUCUCUCUCAACAUAAGGCAUCUGAUUUAGCGUCCCCAUUCUGACUGGAUAUGGCUGCGAAUACAUAUAUCCUGCACUACAAAACAGAUGCUCAACUUUUGCAAGAGCUUUACU